rnacentral:lncRNA from 1 species
CUCCUCCACUUUAUAAGUCUAGUAGGAUUUUCUGUCCUCCUGAGAGAUACUUAGGUAUCAUCACAGAGGAUGUUGAGGAAAUAUUUCUCAUUGGAAAUGGGGUACAUAGUGCGAGAAAUGGUUAGAGGUAAUGAAGUCAGAAAUUGACUUAAUUUGCUUAAAUCAAGUUUGGACCUUAGUGGAUCCACUAGCUGAUAUUGUACAUAUUAGGUGUAAAUAGAUUUACAAAAAAAAGAUUAGUU